UCCGGUUGAUCCUGCCAGUAGUCAUAUGCUUGUCUCAAAGAUUAAGCCAUGCAUGUCUAAGUAUAAAUAGUAUACAGUGAAACUGCGAAUGGCUCAUUAAAACAGUUAUAGUUUAUUUGAUAAUGGAAAGCUACAUGGAUAACCGUGGUAAUUCUAGAGCUAAUACAUGCUAUCAAACCCGACUUUUUGGAAGGGUUGUAUUUAUUAGAUAUUAAGCCAAUAUUCCUUGUGUCUAUUGUGGUGAAUCAUAGUAACUGAUCGAAGCCCUUCUAGGGCUAAAUCAUUCAAGUUUCUGCCCUAUCAGCUUUCGAUGGUAGUGUAUUGGACUACCAUGGCAGUUACGGGUAACGGAGAAUUAGGGUUCGAUUCCGGAGAGGGAGCCUGAGAAACGGCUACCACAUCUAAGGAAGGCAGCAGGCGCGUAAAUUACCCAAUCCUGAUUCAGGGAGGUAGUGACAAGAAAUAACAACCUGGGGGACCUUCGGUCCUUACGGGAUUGCAAUGAGAACAAUUUAAAAGACUUAUCGAGGAACAAUUGGAGGGCAAGUCUGGUGCCAGCAGCCCGCGGUAAUUCCAGCUUCAAUAGCGUAUAUUAAAGUUGGUGCAGNUAAAAAAGCUUGNAGNUUGAACUUCU
rnacentral:rRNA from 1 species